rnacentral:tRNA from 1 species
GCCAGUGUGGCUUAGUGGAAAGAGCACUGGCUUGGGAGUCAGAGGAGCUUGGGAGUCAGAGGACGUGGGUUCUAAUCCCAGCUCUGCCA